rnacentral:rRNA from 1 species
UACGUACCGGACAAACGUUAUUCGGAAUUACUGGGCUUAAAGAGUGCGUAGGCGGCUUUGAAGGUGGGGUGUGAAAGCCCACGGCUCAACCGUGGAAUUGCGCUCCAAACCGCAAGGCUUGAGGAAGACAGAGGUGAGCGGAACUGAUGGUGGAGCGGUGAAAUGCGUUGAUAUCAUCAGGAACACCCGUGGCGAAGGCGGCUCACUGGGUCUUAUCUGACGCUGAGGCACGAAAGCUAGGGGAGCGAACAGG